rnacentral:rRNA from 1 species
CAAAUGAAUUGACGGGGGCCCGCACAAGCGGUGGAGCAUGUGGUUUAAUUCGAAGCACGCGAAGAACCUUACCAGGUCUUGACAUCCCCUGACACCCGAGAGAUCGGGCGUUCCCCUUCGGGGGGACAGGGUGACAGGUGGUGCAUGGUUGUCGUCAGCUCGUGUCGUGAGAUGUUGGGUUAAGUCCCCGCAACGAGCGCAACCCUCGACCUUAGUUGCCAGCAUUCAGUUGGGCACUCUAAGGUGACUGCCGGCUAAAAGUCGGAGGAAGUGGGGAUGACGUCAAAUCAUCAUGCCCCUUAUGACCUGGGCUACACACGUGCUACAAUGGGCGGUACAAAGGGUCGCGAACCCGCGAGGGGGAGCCAAUCCCAAAAAGCCGCUCUCAGUUCGGAUUGCAGGCUGCAACUCGCCUGCAUGAAGCCGGAAUCGCUAGUAAUCGCGGAUCAGCAUGCCGCGGUCGAAUACGUUCCCGGGCCUU